ACGCACGCAAGUGUGAAACUCAAAGGAAUUGACGGGGGCCCGCACAAGCGGUGGAGUAUGUGGUUUAAUUCGAUGCAACGCGAAGAACCUUACCAGGGUUUGACAUCCUGCGAACCUCUAAGAAAUUGGAGGGUGCCUUCGGGAACGCAGUGACAGGUGGUGCAUGGCUGUCGUCAGCUCGUGUCGUGAGAUGUUGGGUUAAGUCCCGCAACGAGCGCAACCCACGUUUUUAGUUGCCAGCAUUUAGUUGGGCACUCUAGAAAGACCGCCGGUGAUAAACCGGAGGAAGGUGUGGACGACGUCAAGUCAUCAUGCCCCUUACAUCCUGGGCUACACACGUACUACAAUGCUACGGACAAAGGGCAGCAAACUCGCGAGAGCAAGCAAAUCCCAUAAACCGUGGCUCAGUUCAGAUCGUAGGCUGCAACUCGCCUACGUGAAGGAGGAAUCGCUAGUAAUCGCAGGUCAGCAUACUGCGGUGAAUACGUUCCCGGGCCUUGUACACACCGCCCGUCACACC
rnacentral:rRNA from 1 species